rnacentral:rRNA from 1 species
GACGAACGCUGACGGCGUGCUUAACCCAUGCAAGUCGAAGGGAGUGGCGAACGGGUGAGUCACACGUUAGUAACCUGCCCUUUUCUUUCGGCUAAGCCUGGGAAACUGGGUCUAAUACUGGAUGGUUUGGGUUGGGCUCGCGGCUUAUCUGCUUGUUGGUGGGGUGAUGGCUUACCAAGGCUUUGACGGGUAGCCGGCCUGGGAGGGUGGUCGGGCACACUGGGACGGAGAUACGGCCCAGACGCCUACGGGAGGCAGCAGUGGGGGAUAUUGCACAAUGGACGAAAGUCUGAUGCAGGGACGGCGUGUGGGGGAUGAAGGCCUUCGGGUUGUAAACUCCUUUCGCCCGCGGAAUGGUAGUGCGUAAAGAAGCGCCGGCUAACUACGUGCCAGCAGCCGCGGUAUAC